UGGGGAAUUUUGGACAAUGGGCGAAAGCCUGAUCCAGCAAUGCCGCGUGCAGGAUGAAGGCCUUCGGGUUGUAAACUGCUUUUGUACGGAACGAAAAAGCUUCUCCUAAUACGAGAGGCCCAUGACGGUACCGUAAGAAUAAGCACCGGCUAACUACGUGCCAGCAGCCGCGGUAAUACGUAGGGUGCGAGCGUUAAUCGGAAUUACUGGGCGUAAAGCGUGCGCAGGCGGUUAUGUAAGACAGAUGUGAAAUCCCCGGGCUCAACCUGGGAACUGCAUUUGUGACUGCAUGGCUAGAGUACGGUAGAGGGGGAUGGAAUUCCGCGUGUAGCAGUGAAAUGCGUAGAUAUGCGGAGGAACACCGAUGGCGAAGGCAAUCCCCUGGACCUGUACUGACGCUCAUGCACGAAAGCGUGGGGAGCAAACAGGAUUAGAUACCCUGGGUAGUCCACGCCCUAAACGAUGUCAACUGGUUGUUGGGAAUUAGUUUUCUCAGUAACGAAGCUAACGCGUGAAGUUGACCGCCUGGGGAGUACGGCCGCAAGGUUGAAACUCAAAUGAAUU
rnacentral:rRNA from 1 species